GAUGAAGAACGCAGUGAAAUGCGAUAAGUAAUGUGAAUUGCAGAAUUCAGUGAAUCAUCGAAUCUUUGAACGCACCUUGCGCCCUUUGGCCAUUCCGAAGGGCAUGCCUGUUUGAGUAUCAUGAACACCUCAACUCUUCAUGGUUUUCCAUGAUGAGCUUGGACUUUGGGGGUUUUGCUGGCCUAUGGUCGGCUCCUCUAAAAUAAAUCAGCUUACCGGUGUUUGGUGGGUAUCAUGGGUGUGAUAACUAUCUACGCUUGUGGUUUUUCCACCAGGUAACCUUCGACAGCGGAGGUUCACUGGAGCUCAUAGAUGUCUCUCCUCAGCGAGGACAGCCCUUUGAAUGUUUGAUCUCAAAUCAGGUAGGACUACCCGCUGAACUUAAGCAUAUCAAUAAGCGGAGGA
rnacentral:misc_RNA from 1 species